rnacentral:rRNA from 1 species
GACGAACGCUGGCGGCGUGCUUAACACAUGCAAGUCGAACGGAAAGGCCCUGCUUUUGUGGGGUGCUCGAGUGGCGAACGGGUGAGUAACACGUGAGUAACCUGCACUUGACUUUGGGAUAACUUCAGGAAACUGGGGCUAAUACCGGAUAUGAGCUCCUGCUGCAUGGUGGGGGUUGGAAAGUUUCGGCGGUUGGGGAUUGACUCGCGGCUUAUCAGCUUGUUGUUGGGGUAGUGGCUUUCCAAGGCUUUGACGGGUAGCCGGCCUGUGAGGGUGACCGGCAACAUGGGGACUGAGAGACGGCCCAGACUCCUACGGGAGGCAGCAGUGGGGAAUAUUGCAAAAUGGGCGGAAGCCUGAUGCAGCAACGCCGCGUGCGGGAUGACGGCCUUCGGGGUGUAAACCGCUUUCGCCUGUGACGAAGCGUGAGUGACGGUAAUGGGUAAAGAAGCACCGGCUAACUACGUG